UUCCGGUUGAUCCUGCCGGACCCGACUGCUAUUUGGGUGAGGAUAAGCCAUGCGAGUCGAAUGGGAUACCUAAAAUUCCCAUGGCAGACUGCUCAGUAACACAUGAUCAACUUACCCUAUGGAAAAAAAUAACCUCGGGAAACUGAGGAUAAUGUUUUAUAGUUGAAAAGGCUUGGAAAAGUUUUUCAAUGAAAGGGAUCAGGAAAAUGGUUCUUAUUCGCCAUAGGAUAGGAUCGUGGUCGAUUAUGGUAGUUGGUGAGGUAACGGCUCACCAAGCCGAUAAUCGAUAGGGGCCGUGAGAGCGGGAGCCCCGAGAUGGGUACUGAGACAGCGACCCAGGCCUUACGAGGCGCAGCAGGCGCGAGACCUCCGCAAUACACGAAAGUGUGACGGGGUUACCCAAAGUGUUCAUAAUUGAACUGUGGUAGGUGAGUAAUGUUCCCUACUAGAAAGGAGAGGGCAAGGCUGGUGCCAGCCGCCGCGGUAAAACCAGCUCUUCAAGUGGUCGGGAUAAUUAUUGGGCUUAAAGUGUCCGUAGCCGGUUUAGUAAGUUCCUGGUAAAAUCGGGUAGCUUAACUAUCUGUAUGCUAGGAAUACUGCUAUACUAGAGGGCGGGAGAGGUCUGAGGUACUACAGGGGUAGGGGUGAAAUCUUAUAAUCCUUGUAGGACCACCAGUGGCGAAGGCGUCAGACUGGAACGCGCCUGACGGUGAGGGACGAAAGCCAGGGGAGCGAACCGGAUUAGAUACCCGGGUAGUCCUGGCCGUAAACGAUGCAUACUAGRUGAUGGCAUGGCUAUGAGCCGUGUCAGUGCCGUAGGGAAACCGUUAAGUGUGCCGCCUGGGAAGUACGGUCGCAAGGCUAAAACUUWAAGGAAUUGGCGGGGGAGCACCACAAGGGGUGAAGCCUGCGGUUCAAUUGGAGUCAACGSCGGG
rnacentral:rRNA from 1 species